rnacentral:lncRNA from 1 species
UAUAUAUAUGUGUGUGUGUGUAUAUGUGUAUGUUAUAAAGGCGUUUGGCAGGGCACAGAUGAGUGAGGUUCUUGUAAUUGGUCCAAAUCAAAAAAGGGAUCUCAGCUCUUUUGAGCCAGUGCCUCCACUUCUGAAGUGCCAAGAUCACUUCCAUCAGCUGAUGAGUCACUUGUAGAAAAGGGCACAAGAAUGUAAUUUAUGAGUCUCUGGGUUCCAGCUAGAGUGACAGCACAGCACUCACUCCUGAGGCAUCAAUCUCGAUGGACGGACCACGGUUCCUCAGUGCUGGCAUAAAUUGUUAAACUGAGGUUCUGGUGGGCUUGGUUAGGGGAGCAGCUAUGUUGCUGUAGUCAUGGAGAUAUCUCCUGUAAAAGUCUGCAAAUCCUAAAAAGCUUUGGUAUUUCCUGCCUGCACCAUGACGUUGGACAUUCAAACAACAGCUUGAAUUUUUUAAAAGGAUCUGGUUUUUGCUGCCCUCGACUGAUGAUGUAAUGAUGACCACAUUUCUCUGGUUUUAUAAAGAGUUUAUUUUUAAGUAGCUUCUGGAGCAGCGCAGAUGUGUGUGCUUUUCAAAAUACCAGGAAAAGAUUAAGAUGUUAUUGAGGUGUAUGAAGAAGAAUCUGUUCAGCAUGUCCAUAACACAUCAUCUAUCAGGGCCUGGAAGAACCAAAAAUGUAGCCAGCUUAUCAAAGAGGCCAACCAGAGUAUUGAAUACCAUCUUCCAAAUGAGAAAGUAGGCACUGUGCAAAUCUGUCCAUCCAUCCUUCCAUCCAUCCAUUCUACCUCUUAUCUCGUUGGGGGUUCACAGGGAUGUGAAGUUUUCCUCCCACAGCCCACCUGGAGUAAACCCAUGCAGACACAGGGAGAAUAUGCAAACUCCAUACAGACACACCCUGACCCGGAUUUGAACCCAGACCCUUCUUGCUGUUAAGCAACAGUGCUAACCACUACAUUAUUGUGCAAAUCCAGCUUAAUGACUACCUGGGCAUGGCACAGGGGCUUGGAGGAGGGAUUGAUGAGGGGUGAGUGUUAUGACUGUGGUCAUUUAUGUAUUUUGAUUGCUUAACUUAUUGACUGACAGCUCUGUCUCUCCUUCCCUCCUCUGCAGUGGAAAUCGGCGUCUGUGUGUGAGGGAUGAGCUGCAGGUGUGUGGGUGCUGCUGAUGGUUCCUGUGAUUUCAUUGCUGCAGGCUGAUUGCCACGUCCAACCACCAGUUUGUGUGAUGUUUUUGCCUAGUCUAGUGAAUCUAAAGACAGUCUAAUUUGUGAAUAAUUGUGAAUAUUUUUACUUUUGUAUUUAGUGGCAGUUGUAGGAGGGAGAAGCCAUUUUGUUUUAUGUCUCGUUUUCUCAGUUUUUGUUAGGAGUUAGGUUACCUGUUGUCUUAUGUUUUACAUCUGUUUUACUAUAGGUAAGUUAGGGUCCUUGGUUUAGCUGUUUUUGUUUCUUGUGUUGGCAUUGUUACCCUCCGAAGCCAAUAAAAACUACCUUUCUGCGAACUUUAAA